AACGCACAUUGCGCCCAUUAGUAUUCUAGUGGGCAUGCCUAUUCGAGCGUCAUUUCGACCCUUAAGCCCUCGUUGCUUAGCGUUGGGAGCCUGCGUCCCCUAGGGGCGCAGUUCCUCAAAGUUAGUGGCGGAGCUAGGGCACACUCUAAGCGUAGUAAGCUAUUCUCGCUUCUGUGGUGUACCUGGCUUCCUGCCGUAAAACCCCUAUACAUCUAGUGGUUGACCUCGAAUUAGGUAGGAAUACCCGCUGAACUUAA
rnacentral:misc_RNA from 1 species